CUCUCGCAUCGAUGAAGAACGCAGCGAAAUGCGAUAAGUAAUGUGAAUGCAGAAAUUCAGUGAAUCAUCGAAUCUUNGAACGCACCUUGCGCUCCUUGGUAUUCCGAGGAGCAUGCCUGUNUGAGUGUCAUGGAAUUCUCAACUCCCUAUUUUUAUUAAUGGGCGAGCUUGGACUUGGAGGUCGUGUCGGCUCUUGUAGUCGACUCCUCUUAAAUGUAUUAGCGUGAAUCUUACGGAUCGCCUUCAGUGUGAUAAUUAUCUGCGCUGUGGUGUUGAAGUAUUUCAUAGUUCGUGCUUACAACAGUCUCGCAAGAGACAACCUUGACAAUCUGACCUCAAAUCAGGUAGGACUACCCGCUGAACUUAAGCAUAUCAAUAAGCGGAGGAAAAGAAACUAACAAGGAUUCCCCUAGUAACUGCGAGUGAAGCGGGAAAAGCUCAAAUUUAAAAUCUGGCGGCUUUUGUCGUCCGAGUUGUAUUCUAGAGAAGCGUUUUCCGUGC
rnacentral:rRNA from 1 species